rnacentral:rRNA from 1 species
AGUCUGAUGUGAAAGCCCCGGGCUCAACCUGGUAACUGCCUUUGAAACUGUUGGACUAGAGUGUGGUAGAGGGAGGUGGAAUUCCCUGUGUAGCGGUGAAAUGCGUAGAUAUCUGGAAGAACACCAGUGGCGAAGGCGGUCUCCUGGGUCAACACUGACGCUGAUGUGCGAAAGCGUGGGGAGCAAACAGGAUUAGAUACCCUGGUAGUCCACGCCGUAAACGAUGUCUACUAGCUGUCGGGGGAGUUGACCCCUUUGUGGCCCAACUCACCCCAUAAAUAGACCCCCCGGGGAAUACGGCCCCCAGGUUAAAACUCCAAUGAAUUGACG